GGCAGCCGCGGUAAUUCCAGCUCCAAUAGCGUAUAUUAAAGUUGUUGCAGUUAAAAAGCUCGUAGUUGAAUUUCGGGGUCAGUAGGUUGGUCGUGCCACGGGUAUGUACUGGCUUCACUGAUUCCUCCUUCUUGUAGAACUGUGAUGCCAUUAAUUUGGUGUUGCAGGGAAACAGGACUGUUACUUUGAAAAAAUUAGAAUGUUUAAAGCAGGCUA
rnacentral:rRNA from 1 species